rnacentral:rRNA from 1 species
CCUACGGGGAGCAGCAGUGGGGGAUAUUGCACAAUGGGGGAAACCCUGAUGCAGCGACGCCGCGUGGGCGAAGAAGUAUUUCGGUAUGUAAAGCCCUAUCAGCAGGGAAGAAGAAAUGACGGUACCUGAGUAAGAAGCACCGGCUAAAUACGUGCCAGCAGCCGCGGUAAUACGUAUGGUGCAAGCGUUAUCCGGAUUUACUGGGUGUAAAGGGAGCGCAGGCGGCACGGCAAGCCUGAUGUGAAAGCCCGCGGCCCAACCGCGGGACUGCAUUGGGAACUACCGGGCUGGAGUGCCGGAGAGGUAGGCGGAAUUCCUAGUGUAGCGGUGAAAUGCGUAGAUAUCAGGAGGAACACCGGCGGCGAAGGCGGCUUACUGGACUGUAACUGACGUUGAGGCUCGAAGGAGUGGGGAGCAAACAGGAUUAGAUACCCUUGUAGUC